rnacentral:rRNA from 1 species
GGGUGAGUAAUACGUGAGUAACCUGCCCUUGACUCUGGGAUAAGCCUGGGAAACUGGGUCUAAUACUGGAUACUACGUUCUCUCGCAUGGGGGUGUGUGGAAAGGGUUUUACUGGUUUUGGAUGGGCUCACGGCCUAUCAGCUUGUUGGUGGGGUAAUGGCCUACCAAGGCGACGACGGGUAGCCGGCCUGAGAGGGUGACCGGCCACACUGGGACUGAGACACGGCCCAGACUCCUACGGGAGGCAGCAGUGGGGAAUAUUGCACAAUGGGCGAAAGCCUGAUGCAGCGACGCCGCGUGAGGGAUGACGGCCUUCGGGUUGUAAACCUCUUUCAGCACGGAAGAAGCGAAAGUGACGGUACGUGCAGAAGAAGCGCCGGCUAACUACGUGCCAGCAGCCGCGGUAAUACGUAGGGCGCAAGCGUUGUCCGGAAUUAUUGGGCGUAAAGAGCUCGUAGGCGGUUUGUCGCGUCUGCUGUGAAAGCCCGGGGCUUAACCCCGUGGUGUGCAGUGGGUACGGGCAGACUAGAGUGCAGUAGGGGAGACUGGAAUUCCUGGUGUAGCGGUGAAAUGCGCAGAUAUCAGGAGGAACACCGAUGGCGAAGGCAGGUCUCUGGGCUGUUACUGACGCUGAGGAGCGAAAGCAUGGGGAGCGAACAGGAUUAGAUACCCUGGUAGUCCAUGCCGUAAACGUUGGGCACUAGGUGUGGGGGACAUUCCACGUUUUCCGCGCCGUAGCUAACGCAUUAA